CAUGGCUCAGGACGAACGCUGGCGGCGUGCCUAAUACAUGCAAGUCGAGCGGACAGAUGGGAGCUUGCUCCCUGAUGUUAGCGGCGGACGGGUGAGUAACACGUGGGUAACCUGCCUGUAAGACUGGGAUAACUCCGGGAAACCGGGGCUAAUACCGGAUGGUUGUUUGAACCGCAUGGUUCAAACAUAAAAGGUGGCUUCGGCUACCACUUACAGAUGGACCCGCGGCGCAUUAGCUAGUUGGUGAGGUAACGGCUCACCAAGGCAACGAUGCGUAGCCGACCUGAGAGGGUGAUCGGCCACACUGGGACUGAGACACGGCCCAGACUCCUACGGGAGGCAGCAGUAGGGAAUCUUCCGCAAUGGACGAAAGUCUGACGGAGCAACGCCGCGUGAGUGAUGAAGGUUUUCGGAUCGUAAAGCUCUGUUGUUAGGGAAGAACAAGUACCGUUCGAAUAGGGCGGUACCUUGACGGUACCUAACCAGAAAGCCACGGCUAACUAC
rnacentral:rRNA from 1 species